rnacentral:lncRNA from 1 species
GGGGCGGGGCAGGCUGUGACUAGAGACAGUGAAACUCCGCGCGCUGGUGCCCGCCGCCUCCUGGGAAAGGCACUGUCCACAGCUCGACGGUCUGGCCUCACAGUCCAGGGACUACAUUUCCCAGAGAGCCUUGCGGACAGAGCCGGUCUUGCGCACUUUUCACUUCCGGACGCGGAAGGUUGUCGUGGAAACGCAGACGCUGCCGCGACCUCUUUCUUACCUUCUUGCGCGUGAGCAUGCACUAUGGUAAGGAGGGGGGGUGGGGGUGGCGACAAGGAACGGGAAGUAAUCCUUGGGCAACCGGAGGCUCCCGGGUCAGGGUCCCAGGGGUAGUUGCUUUUGGUUCCUGCGUGGCGUUGUUCCGCGCUGGCCCGCGUGGCUCCCGGAGGCGGUGAGUCCGGGCGCA